rnacentral:rRNA from 1 species
GUAGGCGGUUUAAUAAGUGAAUAGCGAAACCUGGUGGCUCAACCAUACAGACUAUUAUUCAAACUGUUAAACUCGAGAAUGGUAGAGGUAACNUGGAAUUUCUAGUGUAGGAGUGAAAUCCGUAGAUAUUAGAAGGAACACCGAUGGCGUAGGCAGGUUACUGGGCCAUUUCUGACGCUAAGGCACGAAAGCGUGGGGAGCGAACCGGAUUAGAUACCCGGGUAGUCCACGCCGUAAACGAUGGAUACUAGCUGUUGGAGGUAUCGACCCCUUCAGUAGCGAAGCUAACGCGUUAAGUAUCCCGCCUGUGGAGUACGGCCGCAAGGCUAAAACAUAAAGGAAUUGACGGGGACCCGCACAAGCGGUGGAUUAUGUUCUUUAAUUCGAUGAUAACCGAAGAACCUUACCAGGGCUUGACAUCCAGGGAAGGUCUGCGAAAGUAGACUGUGCCUUUUGGAACCCUGUGACAGGUGAUGCAUGGCCGUCGUCAGCUCGUGUCGUGAGAUGUUAGGUUAAGUCCUUCGACGAGCGCAACCCUUGUGAAUAGUUGUAUCUUUCUAUUCAGACUGCCCCGGUAACGGGGAGGAAGGAGGGGAUGAUGUCAGGUCAGUAUUUCCCUUACGUCCUGGGCUAGAAACGUAAUACAAUGGCUAGUACAAUGCGCAGCGAAGCCCCGAGGUGAAGCAAAUCGCAUCAAAGCUAGUCCCAGUUCGGAU